rnacentral:rRNA from 1 species
AUGGUCACUAUCCUUUCAGACAGCCCUAGCACCCCAUCAUCUGUUUUGGGCUCGGCCCAUGGUCUCUCCCUUGGUAGCCCUCGCACUCCGCCGCUGGGAUUGGAUUUGGCCCAUGGAUCCUCUUUGACCAGCCCAAUUUUAUUAUUUGAUGAUGAUUCGCUUGACACCUCAUCUCCGGUUUGUUUUCCGUCACCGAAGGAAAUUGUGGAUGAGUUACAGAGUUUCAAUGAGAUGAUUGAAGAUAUGGCAGUUAAAUAUUGGGAUUUUCAUAACUGUUUGGGUUUGGGUCAUAUGUUCGAUACGUGCACGAAUCGUAUACGCUGCAGAUUGUGUUUUCGGUUCGGUCACGUUAAGAAAGACUGCCCGGGUAUUAAUGUUGGUUCCACUGUUUGGGUACCUAAAGUCCCGUCGCCAGGUUUCGAGCCUCGCGCCUUGACAGAACCCCUCCCCGACGCUUCGGGCUCCCUGCCUUCACCGCCCACCUCCACCACUUCCCCACAGAACCAAUCUGCCCAAAAACCCCAAUCGCCUCCACCAUCGCCUGCUGCAGCUGAUACUCCAUCCAUGGCGGUCUAUGAGCUUGACCCCCGGCGAUUUCUUUCUACUGGCCAUGACAUCAUUGAUGGAGAGGCAGAGCGUUUGCCAAGAACCUACUACACCCCGCUGCAGGCCCCUCCAAGAGCCCAUGAGCAGUUCAUGGUGGCCAUUGUCGAGCCGCUGCCGCCGGCUCAUCUUGUGGCCAUCAGACGGGAGCAAGUGCUCAACUUCUUGCAAGAGGAUCUUCAGGUGAUUAUUCGCUCUGCUCAAACCUGGUUCCAGGGGGUUGGGUUAUUUGAAGUGGCCAGUCGGGUGAUGCGAUCUUGGUUUACUCGACAUCCUUCUUUCCCCAUGGGUUUAGAUGAAGAUGGCAAUGAGUUCUUUGUGCGUUUCAUACCACACAAUCAGGGAGAGGGUUUUAGGGCUAUUCAUGGACACAGAACGGGUUGGUUAAUGUUCAUUGGUGUACCGUUGGAUUACAGGAAUACCCGAUACAUGUCUAAUGUUGUCAGUACUUUUGGUCAGUUUCAUUACUGGGAUGAGCCAGAUCGGCGAUUAGUGAGAUCUUUGGUGUAUGCUUCUUUCCCGGAUAACAUCAUGGUGCCUCGCUCUGUGGUCUUUCAUGAGUAUGCUAAUUGGGGAGGUACUAUUGUUUCCUGGACUGCUGCGGUCUAUAUUCUCACUGAUAAUUUUGCGGAAGCCAUGUUGGGUGCUGAUGAAGACCCAAUGCCCUUGGAUGGAAACCCUCAUCCUAUGCCAGGGCAUGUCCCCCCACAACCCUUCUGGGGGAUGCCACCGUUUCCUGCUUUGGGUUGGGAUGCUAAUCCUGCGAAUGGCGAACAUCAACCGGAGCAACCUCAUGGCUGGGGCGUUGAUCAACCUGAACAGCAGCCAGAGCCAGCACAUAAUGCUGAGGGAUGGGGCCCUUGGGAUGAGGCUGUGGUUGCACAGAACGCUCAAGUGCAUGAGCCUGCAGUUCAAGAAGCCCAAGAUCAGAACUCCAUGGUGUUGAAUCCUUGCUUGGGGUCCAACAGCUCCUCUGACGAUCAGCCAGCAGACGUUGAAGUGGUUCAGCAGAUUGUGGUCCAGGAAAAUUUGGAGCGAGCACUAGUUCCCUACAUUCCUCCAUCAGUUCAUCCACCCGUGGUUAACCUUGACCCAAUACACCUGGGCCUUGUCAGGGUUGUGUUUGGUCCGGUUCUUCCACCUGCCAUGGUGUGGGAGCGUUCUUUCAAGAACCUUCUGCCUGAAUUUGAAAUUCAGAGCAUUCACAGGCCUGUCUGUCUACAUGUGCUUCCACCUGCGGUUUUGCCCAUGAGGAUUUGGCCCCAGGAGUUUGAAUGCUCCUUCCUGUCUCUAAUUGGUCAGGCUACUCCUGGAACGGUUGGAGGAGUUGCUUCACUGAGGGAGUUACCUGAGGGUUUAUCUGCGGAGCCAGUUGAUCAGGAUGUUUUUGAUGGACCUGCAACUCUGUCUGAGGUUUUUUCUGCGGAGCCAGUUUGGCUUGAUGACUUUGAGUUUAUGUCCAGGACUCCAUCCAUGUUAGGCAAGCACAAAUGUGGCCAUCGUCAGGGCUCCAAGCUCGUUCGUUCUCUAGAGGAUUUUUCCACCAGGAGGAUGACCCGCAGUUGCGCCAAGAAAUCGGGUUUCAAACCUACUUCUGCAAUCCCCAACAAGCCGUCUUCUCUCCGGCGACCUCGUGCUAAGAAGCCUAGGUAUGGUUCUGUCUCUCAGGAGGAGAACUCGUCUGCGGCGGGGGAGCAUAGCACGACAGUUCCACCACCUACGCCAAUUAGUCUCACGCAGCGUAUUGGAGAAUCUCUUGGGAUCUCACCAGAGAAGCUCACCGAGGACAAGCUUAUGGCAAGUCCUGAGAAGAAGGACCAGCACAAUGAUCGUGAUGAUAAGUGA